rnacentral:rRNA from 1 species
AUGACUAGGGAUAACCUUAGGAAGAGACACAUCAUCAAACCCCUUGAUUGUGUUUACUGCUUGAAACAAGAGUCUUGUUCUCACCUAUUUUUUGAAUGUAUAGUUGCUAAACAUCUCUAGGCCCACAUUGAGGAAUAUUUCUCUAGUCAAAUUGGCUCAUCCUUCGAAUCUGUCGCCAGAUUCUGGAUUGCUACCAAAAAGUGAUCAGUUUUAAACACCCUUAGCUCAGCUAUCCUUUGGUGCCUCUAGAAAUAUAGAAAUGCUAUGAUUUUCAGUAACACCUCCUGGAUUUCCAUUCCGCAGGUCUUGAGUUGA